UCGAGAAUCUUCCGCAAUGGGCGAAAGCCUGACGGAGCGACGCCGCGUGCAGGAUGAAGUACUUCGGUAUGUAAACUGCUUUUAGGAGUGAAAAAGUUAUUGAUAUUAGCUCCAGAAUAAGGGGUUACUAAACUCGUGCCAGCAGUAGCGGUAAUACGAGUGCCCCAAGCGUUAUCCGGAAUCAUUGGGCGUAAAGGGUGUGUAGGCGGUCUUGUUAGUCUCUUGUCAAAUUCUUCGGCUUAACCGGGGGUCCGCAAGGGAAACGGCAAGACUUGAGGAUGCGAGAGGUCUGUGGAACUCUAGGUGUAGGGGUGAAAUCCGUUGAUAUCUAGGGGAACACCAAAAGCGAAGGCAACAGACUGGCGCACUCCUGACGCUGAAACACGAAAGCGUGGGUAGCGAAUGGG
rnacentral:rRNA from 1 species